rnacentral:rRNA from 1 species
AAUCUUGCGCCAUGGGCGAAAGCCUGACGCCGCCAUUCCGCCUGAAUGAUGAAGGUCUUUGGAUUGUAAAAUUCUUUCACCGGGGACGAUAAUGACCGUACCCGGAGAAGAAGCCCCGGCUAACUUAGUUCCAGCCGCCGCGGUCAUACGAAGGGGGCCAGCGUUGCUCGGAAUUACUGGGCGUAAAGGGCGCGUAGGCGGACAUUUAAGUCAGGGGUGAAAUCCCAGAGCUAAACUCUGGAACUGCCUUUGAUACUGGGUGUCUUGAGUGUGAGAGAGGUAUGUGGAACUCCGAGUGUAGAGGUGAAAUUCGUAGAUAUUCGGAAGAACACCAGUGGCGAAGGCGACAUACUGGCUCAUUACUGACGCUGAGGCGCGAAAGCGUGGGGAGCAAACAG